AGAAUUAUACUUUCAAGGAUCAGUUCUAUAGUUUGUUAUGAGAGAAGUUUCUCUGAUCAUGCACCUGAAACAAUGAGAAGGAGCCAAAGCGUCCUCCCCUGAACAUGAAGCUGGUUAAAUGUGUUGCUUCUGCAGCUGCCUUUUACCAAUGAUGAUUAUUCUUUUCAUUCUUUGGAAGAGGGAGAGGGAGAGGAUGCAGCCUGAGUGG
rnacentral:snoRNA from 1 species